CAGUGCCGGGCACAUAGGAGAUGUUCAAUAAACAUUCAUUCGGCAAGUGACUUACAGAUGUCUCUAUAGCUAACAUUGUCGGCAUCUCUUUCCUUCUGGAAAUGCUGUCCUCCUUACAACGUUACUUCUUGUCUCUUCCUCUUUGACAGCAAUUUCUUCGUUUUCUGUUCUCCUGUUUUUCAAGGGGCAGAUUCUUCACCUGUGUUUUUCUCUUUCUUCACGUUAUUCACUGGGGACCACGUGUGCUCUCAGAGCUUUACCUCUCACGUCUAUGCCCCUGUCUUGGCAUCUCAUCUGAGUUCAGGCCCAUAUUUCCAGCUGUUUGGUAGCCAUUUCCGUUUUGAAAUCCCAUUGUCACCUAAAGCCCCCAAAUCCCCUGUCAGACUCCCUUUCCCCUCCCAAUGUCACUACUUUCCCUCUUCCCAGCUAAGCCUGAAACCUUUCAAUUUUUUUGCAUUCCUAUCUUAAAAAUUUUUCCCAAACCACACCAAGUCCUACAAUUUCUUCUUUCAGAAUUCAUUAACUAAGGAAAUAUUUAUUGCCUAGGAUAUGGAAAACACUGUGUAAAUGCUUUGGAGUUGGUGCUAUAAAGAUUUCUUCUUUACCCUCAGAGACUUUGUAACCAAAGCUAGAGGUAAAACAUGUUCAGGAAUAGUUUUAAGGAGGAAAAUAAUGAGUUACAGAUUCAGGUUAUGAGGAUAUAGACGAGAGGAAAAUUACUUCCAUUUGAGUUCAGGAAGACUUCUAGAAAGAGGGACAUUUGAGAUGGGCCGUGAAAAUUAGGUCAUGCUUGGACAUGCUAACCCUGGGGUUGGCCUUUCAGCCAGUGGGAACAGCAUGAACAGAACACCAGACACAAGACAGCCAUAAGUGAGGAGGGAGGAUGAUCGCUGAGCUGGGCUGGAGCUUGAAGUGGGGGUGGGGGGAGCUGGAAGGAAGGUGAAGACAGGCCGGAGACUUAUUUCUGUUGGAAGGCAGGGGAAAAGAUUCAACAAUACGGUGCAGGUAAAUAAUGCAUCGGAGCUGUGUUUCAGGGAAGUUAAUCUAGUUACAGCUUUGAAAAUGGAUUGGAGAUAAGAAAUGCAAGAUAGAGCAUCAUCGUCUAGGCUGGAGGCCACAGCAGCCUGAAUGUGGGUGGUAGGAGUAGAAGCAGAUGUGGGAAUGCAGCCACAGGGGGAUGGCAGAGAUACUGCUGAGGUAGAAUGAACAGAACUUUGCAUCCAGUUGAACAUGGAGAACAAACAAAAGAGGGAAGAGUAGCAAAAACGAUACUGAGAUAUUGACCUCAAGUGUCCAAUCCCCAAAUCAGAAAUAGGGAAGAGUAGAGAACCACAUGUGAGGAGGAAAGUUAUGAGUUUAGUUGCAGUCACAGUGCAUGUGAGGCACCAUUGUGACAUCCAAGUGGAGCUUUCCCAUGGGUAGUUAAACCUGUAAGCCUGAAACUCACGACAACGGUCAGACCUAGAAGUAGCAAUAUGGAGGCCACUACCAAGGAUUCAAGAAGGUGGGAUCUUCAGAAUAAGAACGAGGAAGGAUCACCGAGAGACAUCGAUAAGAGGCAGUGAACCUCCAGGACAUUCAGAGAGCGGAAGCCAUGUGGUGCUCCGGGAUGAACUGGUUGGCAAGAAGCUCAUAAAUCAGUGGGGAAAACUGGAGCAGCGAAGCUCUCGUGCCUGGUCUCAAGCUCUGGAAUUGCAGACUGUGGCACGAAUGUCCAGAUAUUUCUAAUUCCCACCCAGAGUAGAAGCUAAGGAGCCAAACUCUUGGUCUCCGUUACUCUUUUCGGAUGGGGAAUGAGAGUCGGCUCCUCUCCUGGCGUCUGUACUUCACCAACUGUUCCUAAUUAUGAGAGUAUUUGAUGGAACCUAGUUUGAUAAACAAACGAAAAGCCCUUGGUAAUUGUCACAGCGGUGAAAGCAUUUACAUCCAUAGGAAUGGAGAAGAAGUUUUGGAAAGCGCACUGAAACUCCAGCACUCACAACCAGCUCCACCUUGGCCUGACACCCCGCCCUCCAGGAGAUGUUCAUGGGCUUGGCUCCUGGCCAUCAUUGAUCUUACCUGGAAGCUAAUGGCAUAUAAACCCCGGGGCCCCCUCACGUGUCCAGACCCCUUCCCGAGACUCUAAGAGGUGCCCUAGCAGUGUGUGCACUCAGACCGACCUUUAAAAACAUCUACACUCUAACUUCCUCUUGUGUUGGGUGGUGUUGGAAUAGCCUUUUGGGAUUCUGGUAAGGGGAAGGGAGUUAUGAAUGCCUUCGGAUUAAGAGGUUUUAGUCACUUCUGUUUAUAGUGGAAUUAUUGCUAGCCAUUUCUGACUCACAGAGGCUUCCAGGAGUACUCUUACUGCCCUGAUCCCCAUGCAUGGUGAGAGGCAGUAAUAUGUCUCAAGAGCCCAUUCCUGGAAUCAGGCACUGUUGGCCUUCUUUCUUCAUGGAGAGAUGUGCAACAUGCAAUAAUUUAUCCUUUAUUUUGAAAUGGAUGACCUGGCAUUCCUCAGAUCAUUGGACACCUUUUUUCUUUCUUUCUUUUUUUUUUGUUGCUAUAGGUUUCUGAACCUUCAUAGGGUUUAUUUCCUAGCCUCCUGAGUGCAUGUGGCUUAGUUAGGUUUGCAAUGUAGUAGCCCCUUGCCCAUCCAAUCCAAUUAGCAUAAUGUCAUUAGUAUAAUGGGCCAGUGUGAUAUUCUGUGGGAUGUUUAACCAGUCCAGGUUUUUAUCUUGGACUACGUUAUGACAGAAGGGAAGAGAGUUAAUACUGCCCUCAAAUCAAACUAUAAAUAUACAGUGUUAUGUGUUUCUGAUCCUCUUUUUUGAUAGGGAUGGAAAAUAAUACAUUUGCCAGAUCAGUGGCUGCAUUCCAUAUACCCAAGGCUAUGUUCAUCUGCUCUAGCAAAUAUGCCACAUCUGGUAUAGCAGCUGCAUUUGGGCUUGAUUGAAUGGCAGUCAUUUACUGUCAUCCUCCAGGAUCUGUCUGGUUCUUGCAGGGGACAGACUGGUGAAUUAAAUGGAGGUCAGAGGGGGUUUGCGAGCCCUAUAUCCUUUAAGCAUUUUUUUUCCUGCCAUCCCCCCAGAAAGCUACAAUGCUUUUGAUUUACCAUUUUGAACUGGGUUUGGGAGAAGCGUCGUUUCAGAGGUUUCCACUUGGCUUUCCCACAGACCAAUGUGGGUGUAUGUGCACCCAUUUUUUUAUUUGGGGACUGUGGAAAUGGUAAUCAGUGGGUCCUUGGAUUCAGUGGGCCCAGUGUAAGCCAGACCUGGGCCAGACUACCCUCAUUUAUUACCUAGAACCCACAUGUCCUCAAGAAAAGGAGGGCCAUAUCGGUGCUUUGAGUCUCCAGUUACAAAUGUCAAGUCAGAUCUCAUAUUCGGUAGACCUCAAAAUGUUUCACAUCCCCCUUUCCUUAGGGUGCCCAUGGCAAAUGGACUGGAGGAACCCUUACUGGCUACACUUGCCAUGAUGUUAUAGGGUCCUUCCUUCCAGGACCCAGCCUCCCCAUUAUUAGGUUCCAGGUCCAUAAAACUUGUUCACAUCUGGGAACCGGGCAGGGGAUCAUGGCUUUUUAUUGGGAUGAUAACUCUCAGCGUCCCGAUCAUUUGUCCUUGAUAACUCUUGAUUUCAGAUUGAGUAGCAUCCUUGCUGGGUGCCCAUUAAUUUUGUCCUGGGGAUAUUAUUCCUUAAUAGAGAACAACAGGUGCUUCUGCAGUCUCAGAGGUUUCAGAACAAUCUGGAAAUUGAAGACGGUUGAGGGCAUUAGCCCACAUGCCCCACCCCAUGUAUCACUUGGAUUAAAUGAACUCCAAGGCUCAUUUUCAUCCUGAAAUAUCUUUAAAGACUGACCUUUUCAUCCAUGUCUACCUUUCCCUUAAGGGGAAGCAAGGAACAGACUGUGGGAGCAGACCACAAACGUUUGAAUUGUGACUCUGGAACUUCCUAGCUGUGGGAACUUGAGCAAGCUACUUAAUAUCUGAGCCUCAGUUUCUUCAUCUGUAAAAUGGUCAUAACAAAAUACCACCCUUCAGAGGAUGAAAUGAGUUAAUAUGCAUAAAGCACUUAUAAUAAUGCAUGGCAUAUAUUAGGUACUUUUCCAUAAGUAUUUGUUGCCCUGGUUCCUUCACUCAACAAGCGCAUGCUCACUUUCAGAUAUGGGCAUUCGUUUCUGCUGCCACUGUGCCUCUGUGGUGGGUUGCAUUUCACCUUUAUCACAGCACUCAGCACAUUCGUUGUGGUGAUUUGGCCUGUCUGAUUUCCCUGCCUUGCUCCGAGCUCUUCAAGGGUGCAAGUGUGUUUUGUCACCGCUCCACUCCUGACACGGUGCAGCUGUUCAGCAAAUGCUCUUGUGGACAAAUAAGUGGGCUUACGGGACGGGGACACCACCCUGCCUUAGGCUGGGGCCUCAGGUGACUUUGGGGCCCCUCCUUUUCUUAGCCAGCUGCAGCUGGGUUCUCUGUCAGGUGUGAGCAUCUGGAUCCCUCGGUGACUAUUCUCAGGCUGACCCCUCUGGCAACCAAAUCAUCCUCCAGGAACUCAUGCCUCGAUCGUUGCUUCUGUUGUCCAUUUCACCCACUUACCCUGUGUUCCGGCCCCUUGCUUGUUUUGGCUUUGGGGCACUACUCGUUCUCACCUCUUCUCUGGUUUUGGGGUUAUUCGUUAGCUUCUGAAAACCGACACCCCAGAUCUGCCCACCUCUGCUUUGACCUCCACAAUUCUUUAGUUUUUGUUUUGCUCUCCAGGUGGUGCAAGCAAGUCCCUUGUCUCUGUUCUGGCUUCUUGUACUAAGACCCUUGCCUGGCUUCUGGCAUCUUCUAGCUGGAAACAUCCUUGACAUUUCCCAUCUCCAGCCCGGGUGUUUGGUUGGUCUUCCCUGAUCAUCCCUUCUAGAGGAGGGAUAGCACAGUCACUCACAACCACUACCCAUUCUGUGUCCAGGGAAGACAGAGCUAAUCAAUCACAGCACUCUUUUAGUGUCCCUAUGAGGUUGCAAAGCAUGUGCAAAUGGAUACUCCCCGUCCCAUCCUGUUUGCCAUCCCUCGAUUACAUGAUGGCCCUUGCCCAUGUAAAUUCAUUUUACUAUUUCUCCUCUGCUUCUCUGCCCUUGGCCUUUUUCCUGUCCAUUUGACAGAUGAAACCUGCCUACCAUUCUUCUUAGCUUCUGGCCCCCUACCAGACAUCUCUGGGGGCUGUUGGGCUUCAGCUACCAGGUUGCUACAGAAUCUGGCACAGUUAUGCCCAUCAUGGGCCAAACAAUCCCUCUAUCGCCAGGAAGCAGCCUCUCUGCCUCAGGUUUGAAGGAAGCCCAAAGAAGUCACAGAUCUCUUCUGAAAUAACAAAGAACCACAGACUGGGAGCCUGAAGGCAAAAGAAAUUUAUUCCCUCAUAGUUCUGGACGCUAGAAGUGUAAGAUCAAGGAGUAGACAGGUUUGGUUUUUCCCGACACUUCCCUCUUUGCCAUGUGGAUGGCCAUCUUUUCCUUUCUGUGCCUGGUUGGUUAUAGGAUUAUCUGUGGGACAGAGCCAGGUCAGAUUGAUUCAAAGUGUUUUCCCGGGCAUCACUCAAAAUUGGCCUCCCAACUAGGUUCUAUGGAGAGCCCAACUCUUCUGUGCAUUCACGUGUCCUCCACAAAACAAAUCCUUACUCCAUCCUUCUAUCCCUUAAGACCAGAGUGGUGAUGUGGGUCAAUGCCAUUUUUUAGCCCUGUGCUGGGGGUGGAAGUUGUGGUGUGAAAGGUAAAAGGUUGAAGUCGUCUUCCUUCCACGUGGUAGUUUGUUCAGUCUCCCCUCUUCUCGUUUGGCUCCUUGUCACCUGGUCCCAUCUCCUGCCCUAGAAAGGCCAAGAAGAAUCAGGCUGGAAGCCUGGGGCAGGAUGCUAUACCCCAGGGCCCAGGCUUUUGGGAGAAAUGCACUUUAUUCCUUUGUGCUCUUUCCUGAGGUUUGUCUUCUCUCAGCCCUUUGCUCCAUUGCAGGGCCAAGAUCAGUGUGUCACUGAAAGAAGGGGCUCGGGAGGCUGGCCACUGUGCCUCUGUAUUGGCUGCUUACACUGCCUAAUCUCAAGAAUCUCAAGGGGUUGUCUCAGCUGUGGGGUUCCAAGGAAAGCUAUAUACCUGACUGAAGAGGUUACAGACUGCCUGCGGGCACUAUAGGUUGUAUAUUUUGAAGAAAUAAAAAUUGUCUAUGCUUAAAA